AACCCUUGACAUCCUGAGCCCGCCACGGAGACGUGGUUUUAUCGUAAGAUACUCAGUGACAGGUGCUGCAUGGCUGUCGUCAGCUCGUGUCGUGAGAUGUUCGGUUAAGUCCGGCAACGAGCGCAACCCACAUCCUUAGUUGCCAUCAUUCAGUUGGGCACUCUAGGGAAACUGCCCGUGAUAAGCGGGAGGAAGGUGUGGAUGACGUCAAGUCCUCAUGGCCCUUACGGGUUGGGCUACACACGUGCUACAAUGGCAUCUACAGUGGGUUAAUCCCCAAAAGAUGUCUCAGUUCGGAUUGGGGUCUGCAACUCGACCCCAUGAAGUCGGAAUCGCUAGUAAUCGCGUAACAGCAUGACGCGGUGAAUACGUUCCCGGGCC
rnacentral:rRNA from 1 species